UACGUAGGGGGGCUAGCGUUUGUCCGGAAUCAUUGGGCGUAAAGCGCGCGUAGGCGGCCAGAUAAGUCCGGUGUGAAAGUCACAGGCUCAACCUGUGAAUGCCGCUGGAAACUGUCUGGCUAGAGUCCGGAAGGGGCGAGUGGAAUUCCUGGUGUAGCGGUGAAAUGCGCAGAUAUCAGGAGGAACACCAAUGGCGAAGGCAGCUCGCUGGAACGGUACUGACGCUGAGGCGCGAAAGCGUGGGGAGCGAACAGG
rnacentral:rRNA from 1 species